rnacentral:lncRNA from 1 species
CUCUUAUGAAAGAGACCCCAGAGAGAUCCCUUGCAAGUUCCACCAUGUGAGGAUACAGGGAGAAAAUGGCAGUCUAUGAACCAGGAAGCAAGUCUUCACCAGAACCCAGCUGUGCUAGCACCCUGAACUCAGGCUUUCAGCCUCCAGAACUAUCCUCAGAGCUUUAUAGCCUUUCAGUUGAGAAAUAUGAAACACUGAAAAUCAAAAACAAAUGCUGGAAAUCUUCUGCUUUGCAUUUCUCACAACUGGAUGGCCCCACCUGGACCUGCCAACCAGUUCUAUGGCCUCACUCAAGAACCGAUGCAGCAGAAGAGAACAGCUUGGACUCUCUAUGAUUUCAUCCCUGAGCCAACCAAUCAGAACUUCUGAUUUACUGGCCCCCUACCACCAUAUUAUCCUUAAAAACUCUGAUCCCCAAGUUUUCGAGGAGACUGAUUUGAGUAAUAAUAAAACUCCAGUCUCCCACACAGCCAGUUCUAUGUGAAUUAUUCUUUCUCUGUUCCAAUUCCUCUGUCUUCAUAAAUCAGCUCUGUCUAGGCAGCGGGCAAGGUGAAUCCACUGGGCAGUUACAAAUCUGGGGGCUCGUCAGGGAUUGCCCUUGUGGCUACCUGCCCAUGCA